rnacentral:lncRNA from 1 species
AAGGCCAAGGGCUAGACACCACAGCUCCGGGGCUCAUGGGAACAGAGCAGUUAUCCACAGAGCUGGACAGUAAAACCCCAACGCCCCCAGCACCCACUCUGCUAAAAAUGACCUCUAGCCCUGUGGGCCCGGGCACUGCCUCAGCAGGACCCAGCUUACCUGGCGGUGCUCUCCCCACCAGUGUACGCUCGAUAGUAACCACUCUGGUACCCUCCGAGCUCAUCUCCGCCGUACCGACCACAAAAAGCAAUCAUGGUGGCAUAGCAUCUGAGUCACUUGCGGGUGGCCUAGUGGAGGAGAAGGUGGGAUCCCAUCCAGAACUUCUACCCAGCAUAGGUAUGUACUUGGGGCUUCAUCAUCUCUUUGUGUCAGUUUUUUGAUGACCUAAUCCCACAAGAGAAAGCAUGACUCCUUUUUUACUUGGAGGAAAGAGAAUGGGCUAAAUGGCAAUAGCAGUAGUUUUAUUUAUUGAAAGUACGUUGGAAAAUAUGCUUUUAAAUCCCAUGUUAAGUUUGCAUUCAUUAAAGAGAGCUAAGGGCCAGGUGCGGUGGCUCACGCCUGUAAUCCCAGCACUUUGGGAGGCCGAGGUGAGUGGAUCAGUUGAGGUCAGGAAUUCGAGACCAGCCUGGCCAACAUGGUGAAACUGCAUCUGUACUAAAAAUUCAAAAAUUAGCCAGGCAUGAUGGCACACACCUGUAAUCCCAGCUACUCAGGAGGCUGAGGCAUGAGAAUAGCUUGAACCUGGGAGCAGAGGUUGCAGUGAGCUGAGAUCAUGCCACUGCACUCCAGCCUGGGCAACAGAGCGAGACUCUGUCUGAAAAAAACAAAACAGAGAGCUAAGGCUCUCAAAACAAAGAGUUCCUGAAAUAAUGAUACCUUUCAUUUAUAUAAGUUUUUCAAU